GAGAUUUAUUUGGAAAGUCAGAGGGUGGAUGGGAGGCUGCCUUGCUGUAUCCAGAAAGAGUUGGUGGUGUGACCCACAUAGAUCUCUUUGAAUUAUUCCAGAAUCUGAACAGUCAAGCAAAAGUUAAUUAAAUUACACUUUAGCUAACAAAAGGGUCAGAGUCUUUGAAUGCCUCUUGAUGCCUAACCUUUUACAGCAGCUCCUGACCAGCCAGAGUGAUAACAAUCUCAUCAGUGCUUGUAAAUGAGGAGUCCCAGCUUCGUGAACCGCGGAUUCCAACUGAUGGAAAGAGAGUUAAAGGACAGAGCAGGAAGAUAUAGCUGCCUGGCCCAGAGGCAGUAAAUGGACCCGACGACCUCCGUGGCGGCUGAAGGGAGCCGUGAUCCCACACACUACCUUCUGCUUGCCACCGUUCUGCCCUCCUUCACUGGCUAGGCCUGUUUCAGAUCCUCUCCACCCACCUGGGAUUGGUAAAAAUGGCAGGAUUGUUUCGAGAUGAAGGCGUGUGCCCUUUGGAUCCCCCAUUGUGGACGAAUAACUCUUGGAGAAGCAGCAGGGGCUACUGGAAAGAACAUGGGCCUGGUUGUCAGAGGACCUGGGUUCUAAUCCCAG